CAAUAAGCGGAGGAAAAGAAACCAACAGGGAUUGCCCCAGUAACGGCGAGUGAAGCGGCAAGAGCUCAAAUUUGAAAUCUGGCCCCCUCGGGGCCCGAGUUGUAAUUUGCAGAGGAUGCUUCGGGUUCGGCCCCGGUCUAAGUCCCCUGGAACGGGGCGUCAUGGAGGGUGAGAAUCCCGUCUGGGAUCGACGGCCGGACCCGUGUGAAGCUCCUUCGACGAGUCGAGUUGUUUGGGAAUGCAGCUCCAAAUGGGUGGUAAAUUUCAUCUAAAGCUAAAUACUGGUCGGAGACCGAUAGCGCACAAGUAGAGUGAUCGAAAGAUGAAAAGCACUUUGAAAAGAGAGUUAAACAGCAUGUGAAAUUGUUGAAAGGGAAGCGCUUGCGACCAGACUCGCCCGCGGGGGCUCAGCCGGCAUUCUUGCCGGUGCACUCCCCCGCGGUCGGGCCAGCGUCGGUUUGGGCGGUCGGUCAAAGGUCCCCGGAAUGUGUCGCCCCUCGGGGCGUCUUAUAGCCGGGGGCGCAAUGCGGCCUGCCCGGACCGAGGAACGCGCUUCGGCACGGACGCUGGCGUAAUGGUCGUAAGCGGCCCGUCUUGAAACAC
rnacentral:rRNA from 1 species